CUCAUCUCAUCUGGAUCCUAGUGCUCUGGAUUCAGGAAGGCAGAGGGCAGAUUGUGCUGACUCAGACUCCAGAAUCCCUGUCAGUAUCUCCAGGAGACAGAGUCAUCAUCAACUGCAAAGCCAGUUCCAAUGUUGGCAGCUACAUGUCCUGGUACCAACAGAGAUAAGGACAAGCUCCUAAGCGCCUCAUACACAGCGCUUCCACCCGUCCCUCUGGGAUCCCAGAUCGGUUCAGUGGCAGCAGGUCUAGAACCGAC